ensembl:lncRNA
UAUAUAUGAUGAAUGACCAUUGCCUCACCUAUCUUUAGGAAAUAAGAAUGAAAAAGAAAAUCUCCAUUAAUGUUAAAGAAAAACAGGUGGGAGUCUUACCCCGUAUAAACCAGCCUGUUGUAAGGCUGAGGAAGGCACCACGGUUUGCGGAGGGUUUUCUCCAUAGUUUCUGCAUCUUGAAGCCAGACCUUCUCCUCUUCACAUACAGCGAGGCAUCUCAGCCUGGGGACCUGUCCUCCUCCAUCCUGAAGGCACACUGAGCUGCUCUGGCAUUUGGAGACACCAGCCUAUGGUCUCCCCCAGAGGGCGUUUCUGGGUAAACAAGAUCCCCUGUGACCCACCCUUGGGUAUCUGUGCCAGAGACAAAUCUCAUCCUAUGAACUCACCUCUACUGAGAGGGUAAACACAGGAAGAACCUCCUUCAGAGUCAAUUUUCUUUCUAAGCAUUUCAUAUGCAAGUGACCUAAGAUUAAUUUUGGCUUAAAGACACUAUAAACAUCUCUGGGGCACUGGGUUUCAGCAGUUGUUUUUGUUAUACAGUGGAUGGAGCCCUAAGAGUGAGCCAGUAGAGUGCUAGGUCAGCGCUCCUCCACGUGCACAGGUGUGCUGGCUUCACAACCUUAUAAUGUUGAAAAUGUCAUCCUGACCAGACAAUGAGAGGAGAUGUGUAAAAGCACUAGGUGAGCUGUAUACCUUGAAACAAAUAUGAGGCAAUACUACAAGCCCAUGUAGUGUGUGAUCAUUGGUCCU